rnacentral:rRNA from 1 species
UACGUAGGGUGCAAGCGUUGUCCGGAAUUAUUGGGCGUAAAGAGCUCGUAGGCGGUUUGUCGCGUCGGCUGUGAAAGCCCGGAGCUCAACUCCGGGUCUGCAGUCGAUACGGGCAGACUUGAGUGUUGCAGGGGAGACUGGAAUUCCUGGUGUAGCGGUGAAAUGCGCAGAUAUCAGGAGGAACACCAACAGCGAAGGCAGAUCUCUGGGACGUAACUGACGCUGAGACGCGAAAGCGUGGGAGCAAACAGG